GAUGAACGCUGGCGGCGUGCCUAAUACAUGCAAGUCGAGCGAACGGACGAGAAGCUUGCUUCUCUGACGUUAGCGGCGGACGGGUGAGUAACACGUGGAUAACCUACCUAUAAGACUGGGAUAACUUCGGGAAACCGGAGCUAAUACCGGAUGAUAUUUUGAACCGCAUGGUUCAAAAGUGAAAGACGGUCUUGCUGUCACUUAUAGAUGGAUCCGCGCUGCAUUAGCUAGUUGGUAAGGUAACGGCUUACCAAGGCAACGAUGCGUAGCCGACCUGAGAGGGUGAUCGGCCACACUGGAACUGAGACACGGUCCAGACUCCUACGGGAGGCAGCAGUAGGGAAUCUUCCGCAAUGGGCGAAAGCCUGACGGAGCAACGCCGCGUGAGUGAUGAAGGUCUUCGGAUCGUAAAACUCUGUUAUUAGGGAAGAACAUAUGUGUAAGUAACUGUGCACGUCUUGACGGUACCUAAUCAGAAAGCCACGGCUAACUACGUG
rnacentral:rRNA from 1 species